UACGGAGGGGGCUAGCGUUGUUCGGAAUUACUGGGCGUAAAGCGCGCGUAGGCGGCUUUGUAAGUUAGAGGUGAAAGCCCGGGGCUCAACCCCGGAACUGCCUUUAAGACUGCGUCGCUUGAAUCCGGGAGAGGUGAGUGGAAUUCCGAGUGUAGAGGUGAAAUUCGUAGAUAUUGGGAAGAACACCGAUGGCGAAGGCAGCCAUCUGGACCGACACUGACGCUGAGGCGCGAAAGCGUGGGGAGCAAACAGG
rnacentral:rRNA from 1 species